UCGAACGCGUGGCUUCGGCCACGAGUGGCGCACGGGUGAGUAACGCGUGGGAACCUGCCCGGCAGUACGGGACAACCGCGGGAAACUGCGGCUAAUACCGUAUACGGCCUGAGGGCGAAAGAAUUUCGCUGUCGGAGGGGCCCGCGUCGGAUUAGGUAGUUGGUGGGGUAACGGCCUACCAAGCCUGCGAUCCGUAGCUGGUCUGAGAGGAUGAUCAGCCACACUGGGACUGAGACACGGCCCAGACUCCUACGGGAGGCAGCAGUGGGGAAUAUUGGACAAUGGGCGCAAGCCUGAUCCAGCAAUGCCGCGUGAGUGAUGAAGGCCUUAGGGUUGUAAAGCUCUUUCGCCCGCGACGAUGAUGACGGUAGCGGGAGAAGAAGCCCCGGCUAACUCCGUGCCAGCAGCCGCGGUAAUACGGAGGGGGCUAGCGUUG
rnacentral:rRNA from 1 species